GCAGGCAUAAUUUAACCCCAAAAUCUUAAGUUGUGGACUUAAAAAUAAAGACUCAUCACCUUUUGCCUACC
rnacentral:tRNA from 1 species